rnacentral:rRNA from 1 species
CCGGGAAUGAUCCUUCGGGUGAAUGAAUGGUUGGAAAGUGGCGAACGGGUGAGUAACGCGUGGGUAACCUGCCCUAUGGAAAGGAAUAGCCUCGGGAAACUGGGAGUAAUGCCUUAUAAUAUACGGAAGUCGCAUGGCUUUUGUAUUAAACGCUCCGGUGCCAUAGGAUGGACCCGCGUCCCAUUAGCUAGUUGGUGAGAUAACAGCCCACCAAGGCGACGAUGGGUAACCGGUCUGAGAGGGCGAACGGUCACACUGGAACUGAGACACGGUCCAGACUCCUACGGGAGGCAGCAGUGGGGAAUAUUGCGCAAUGGGGGCAACCCUGACGCAGCAAUACCGCGUGAGUGAAGAAGGUUUUCGGAUCGUAAAGCUCUGUUAUUGGGGAAGAAAAAAGACGGUACCCAAGAAGAAAGUCCCGGCUAACUACGUGCCAGCAGCCGCGGUAAUAC